rnacentral:rRNA from 1 species
CCCUGGAAGAAGACCAGGUUGAUCGGCAGGCACUGGAAGACCUGUAAGGGUUUAAGGUUACCUGUACGAAUAGAUUGAG